CAACCUGCCCACCACUUGGGGAUAACCUUGCGAAAGUAAGACUAAUACCCAAUGAUAUCUCUAGAAGACAUCUGAAAGAGAUUAAAGAUUUAUCGGUGAUGGAUGGGGAUGCGUCUGAUUAGCUUGUUGGCGGGGUAACGGCCCACCAAGGCGACGAUCAGUAGGGGUUCUGAGAGGAAGGUCCCCCACAUUGGAACUGAGACACGGUCCAAACCCCUACGGGAGGCAGCAGUGAGGAAUAUUGGUCAAUGGACGAGAGUCUGAACCAGCCAAGUAGCGUGCAGGAAGACGGCCCUAUGGGUUGUAAACUGCUUUUAUAAGGGAAUAAAGUGAGUCUCGUGAGACUUUUUGCAUGUACCUUAUGAAUAAGGACCGGCUAAUUCCGUGCCAGCAGCCGCGGUAAUACGGAAGGUCCGGGCGUUAUCCGGAUUUAUUGGGUUUGAAGGGAGCGUAGGCCGGAGAUUAAGCGUGUUGUGAAAUGUAGACGCUCAACGUCUGCACUGCAGCGCGAACUGGUUUCCUUGAGUACGCGCAAAGUGGGCGGAAUUCGUGGUGUAGCGGUGAAAUGCUUAGAUAUCACGAAGAACUCCGAUUG
rnacentral:rRNA from 1 species